rnacentral:rRNA from 1 species
GAUGAACGCUAGCUACAGGCUUAACACAUGCAAGUCGAGGGGAAACGACAUCGAAAGCUUGCUUUUGAUGAGCGUCGACCGGCGCACGGGUGAGUAACGCGUAUCCAACCUGCCCAUCACUUGGGGAUAACCUUGCGAAAGUAAGACUAAUACCCAAUGAUAUCUCUAGAAGACAUCUGAAAGAGAUUAAAGAUUUAUCGGUGAUGGAUGGGGAUGCGUCUGAUUAGCUUGUUGGCGGGGUAACGGCCCACCAAGGCAACGAUCAGUAGGGGUUCUGAGAGGAAGGUCCCCCACAUUGGAACUGAGACACGGUCCAAACUCCUACGGGAGGCAGCAGUGAGGAAUAUUGGUCAAUGGGCGAGAGCCUGAACCAGCCAAGUAGCGUGCAGGAAGACGGCCCUAUGGGUUGUAAACUGCUUUUAUAAGGGAAUAAAGUGAGAGUCGUGACUCUUUUUGUAUGUACCUUAUGAAUAAGGACCGGCUAAUUCCGUG